GGAGGGGUGGCGGAGUCCGGCUGAUCGCACCGGUCUUGAAAACCGGCAGGCCUUCGGGCCUCAGGGGUUCGAAUCCCCUCCCCUCCGCC
rnacentral:tRNA from 1 species